rnacentral:rRNA from 1 species
CCUACGUGAGACAGCAGUGAGGAAUCUUUGUCAAUGGCCGAGAGGCUGAACCAGCCCAGUCGCGUGAGGGCAGAAUGUCCUAUGGAUUAUAAACCUCUUUUGUCAGGGAGCCAAGUCACUCACGUAUUGGUGUUGGAGAGUACCUGAAGAAAACGCAUCGGCUAACUCUGUGGCAGCAGCCGCGGUAAUACGGAGGAUGCGAGUGUUAACCGUCUUUAUGGGGUUUAAAGGGUGCUUAGGCGGGUUAUGAAGUCAGCGGUAAAAUCGUGGGGCUCAAAUCCAUACAGCCGGUGACACUGAUGAGCUUGAGACGGCGAGAAGUAUGCGGAAUGCGUGGUGUAGCGGUGAAAUGCAUAGAUAUCACGCAGAACUCCGAUUGCGAAGGCAGAAUACCGGCGCCCGACUGACGCUGAAGCACGAAAGCGUGGGUAUCGAACAGGAUUAGAGACCCUAGUAGUC